UACGGGAGGCAGCAGUGGGGAAUAUUGCACAAUGGGCGCAAGCCUGAUGCAGCCAUGCCGCGUGUAUGAAAAAGGCCUUCGGGUUGUAAAGUACUUUCAGUCGUGAGGAAGGUGUUAAGGUUAAUAACCUUAGCAAUUGACGUUAGCGACAGAAGAAGCACCGGCUAACUCCGUGCCAGCAGCCGCGGUAAUACGGAGGGUGCGAGCGUUAAUCGGAAUUACUGGGCGUAAAGGGCACGCAGGCGGUUAAUUAAGUUGGAUGUGAAAUCCCCGGGCUUAACCUGGGAAUGGCAUUCAAGACUGGUUAGCUAGAGUCUUGUAGAGGGGGUAGAAUUCCGAUGUGUAGCGGUGAAAUGCGUAGAGAUGUGGAGGAAUACCGGUGGCGAAGGCGGCCCCUGGACAAAGACUGACGCUCAUGUGCGAAAGCGUGGGGAGCAAACAGGGAUUAGAUA
rnacentral:rRNA from 1 species